rnacentral:ncRNA from 2 species
CUGACCCGCGCGGGAGAGUUUGCUGCUGAUUCGCAUAUGUGAAAAAAGCAGUGACGCCGAAGGAGCAACCGCCCCGGAAUCUCUCAGGCUAAAGGACCGCACGGGGUCU